rnacentral:rRNA from 1 species
AAACCAACCGGGAUUGCCUUAGUAACGGCGAGUGAAGCGGCAAAAGCUCAAAUUUGAAAUCUGGUACCUUCGGUGCCCGAGUUGUAAUUUGGAGAGGGCAACUUUGGGGCCGUUCCUUGUCUAUGUUCCUUGGAACAGGACGUCAUAGAGGGUGAGAAUCCCGUGUGGCGAGGAGUGCGGUUCUUUGUAAAGUGCCUUCGAAGAGUCGAGUUGUUUGGGAAUGCAGCUCUAAGUGGGUGGUAAAUUCCAUCUAAAGCUAAAUAUUGGCGAGAGACCGAUAGCGAACAAGUACAGUGAUGGAAAGAUGAAAAGAACUUUGAAAAGAGAGUGAAAAAGUACGUGAAAUUGUUGAAAGGGAAGGGCAUUUGAUCAGACAUGGUGUUUUGUGCCCUCUGCUCCUUGUGGGUAGGGGAAUCUCGCAUUUCACUGGGCCAGCAUCAGUUUUGGUGGCAGGAUAAAUCCAUAGGAAUGUAGCUUGCCUCGGUAAGUAUUAUAGCCUG